rnacentral:rRNA from 1 species
UACUCAAAAAAAGAAUUUAAGUUCAACCUAAAAUUAUCUAAAUACAAUUAAACAGCAACAAUAAUUUUAGAGCAAUUCAAAUAAGGUACAGCCUAUUUGAAAAAGGACACAACCUAAACCACUGGGUAAUUUUAAAUUCACGCUCAACGAAGUGGGCCUAAAAGCAGCCAUCUUUCAAAAAGCGUCAAAGCUCUAUUGAGCUAUCAACCAAUUACAAUAUCACCUAAGAACCCUUAAACAAUAUUGAGUAAUUCUAUAUCAAUAUAGAAGAUUUUAUGUUAAAACUAGUAACAAGAAGAAGAACUUCUCCUAUAAUGCAAAUAUAAAUCAGUCAGGACACCCCACUGAUAAUUAACACUAAUGAAAAUAAAGUAGUAACUUAACAAGAAAACUCUACUAAAUUACAUGUUAACCUAACACCAGAGCAUUACAGGAAAGAUUAAAAGAAAGAGAAGGAACUCGGCAAACAUUAACCUCGCCUGUUUACCAAAAACAUCGCCUCUUGCCACAAAUAUAAGAGGUCCAGCCUGCCCAGUGACUCUGUUCAACGGCCGCGGUAUCCUAACCGUGCGAAGGUAGCGUAAUCACUUGUUCUCUAAAUAAGGACUAGUAUGAAUGGCACCACGAAGGUUAUACUGUCUCCUCUUUUUAAUCAGUGAAACUAAUCUUCCCGUGAAGAAGCGGGAAUAAACAUAUAAGACGAGAAGACCCUAUGGAGCUUUAGACUAUGUAACACUUGCACUAACCCAUACAAAUUUCAGAAAUAAACCUCUUUACUUAUGCAAGACUGCUACCAGUUUUAGGUUGGGGUGACCACGGAGCAAAAAACAACCUCCACAUUGAAAGGAGUUUACUCCUUAGCCAAGAACCACAUCUCCACGCAUCAUUACAAUGACAUUAAUUGACCCAAUAUAUUGAUCAACGAACCAAGUUACCCUAGGGAUAACAGCGCAAUCCACUUCAAGAGCCCCUAUCGACAAGUGGGUUUACGACCUCGAUGUUGGAUCAGGGUAUCCCGGUGGUGCAGCCGCUACCAAAGGUUCGUUUGUUCAACGAUUAAAACCCU